AACGUAGGAGACAAACGUUAUCCGGAGUUACUGGGCGUAAAGGGCGUGUAGGCGGUUAGUUAAGUCUGGCGUGAAAGCUCUCGGCUAAACCGGGAGAGGUCGUUGGAUACUGGCUGACUAGAGGACGGUAGAGGCGCGUGGAAUUCCGGGUGUAGUGGUGAAAUGCGUAGAGAUCCGGAGGAACACCAGUGGCGAAGGCGACACGCUGGGCCGUACCUGACGCUAAAGCGCGACAGCAUGGGGAGCAAACGGG
rnacentral:rRNA from 1 species